rnacentral:rRNA from 1 species
UACGUAGGGGGCAAGCGUUGUCCGGAAUUACUGGGUGUAAAGGGCGUGUAGGCGACUCCUUAAGUUGAAUGUGAAAUCUCCCGGCUCAACUGGGAGGAGUCAUUCAAUACUGAGGGGAUGUGAGGACAGAAGAGGGAAGUGGAAUUCCCGGUGUAGCGGUAAAAUGCGUAGAUAUCGGGAGGAACACCAGUGGCGAAGGCGGCUUCCUGGUCUGUCCCUGACGCUGAGGCGCGAAAGCUAGGGGAGCAAACGGG